rnacentral:tmRNA from 1 species
GGGGGCGAACUAGGAUCGACCGGAUUGCUGAAGACAGAGGUUGCGUGUCGAGGUUGGUCAGCAGGCCUCGUAAAAAGCGGACCAAACUAUAAGUGCCAAAACUAGCACUCAAACUCUUCGUCUUGCUGCCUAAGUAACGACGAAGCUCCGCAAUAUGACUUCGGCCCGAGAGUCAUGUUCGGAGACGCCAAUUCGGGCUGGCCAAGGAUUAACCGCCGGUUGCUGCCUUGGCGAGAAAAAAUGACUGGAUAAGCGGAGCGGAACCCUGCCUCUUGGGGGCUGCCCGACGAAAACCAAAUAAGAGGACACACACGUAGACGCCCUGACGGAAGGGUCUCGGGACGCGGGUGCAAUUCCCGCCGCCUCCACUA